GCGCGAGUGGCGGAACGGCAGACGCGCAGCGUUCAGGUCGCUGUAUUCGAAAGAGUGUGGGAGUUCAAAUCUCCUCUCGCGCACCA
rnacentral:tRNA from 2 species